rnacentral:rRNA from 1 species
AUGGAUGUUCAAAGAAUUGUCUCCAUCCCGCUGCCAGUUCAUGAGAUGACAGAUUUUGUGGCUUGGAGCUAUACAAAAACGAGUGUUUUUUCAGUGAGGUCUGCCUAUCACGUAGUCUGGGAUACUCUGUUCGGGCAACGAUUACAACAUGGUUGCAGCUCUUCCUCAACUACGCCCACUUGGGAGUCUGUUUGGUCUCUGAACUGUCCGGGAAAAGUCAAAAUUUUCAUUUGGAGAGCGCUCAACAGCUCAAUUCCUUGUCGUGCAAACUUGUCUGACAGGCAUAUUAAAAUUUCACCACAAUGUCCAGUUUGUAAAAGUGGACCUGAAAUAGUUCGACACCUUUUGUUCGAGUGCCUUGUGGCAGUGGAGGUUUGGAAUAUGCUUGGUCUGAUUGAUGUGAUAAAGCAAAGUUUUCUUAUGGACAAAUUUAGGGAGAGGGUUUUGGAGUUUCUUCUAAAUUUACCUGAGAACUAUGUCCAUAUCCUGGGACUGCCGAAACUGAAUGAAACAAUUGCAACAUGCUGCUGGUAUUUGUGGCUAGAAAGGAGGAAGCAUACGCAUGGGGGGACACCGCAAACUGCACCGCAAGUUAGUCUCUCAGUUCGAGCAAUGGCGGCAAACUUUAUCUCUGCUUAUUCACCUAAGGCGCGAGUACAUCUUGAUGGCUGGGUGAGACCGAGGCAUGAUUACGUCAAGCUUAAUGUAGAUGCGGGAUUCGAUGCUGAUACCCUUGAAGCCUCGGUUGGAGCUGUCAUCUGA